AGUCCUGUAGCUCAGUGGUUAGAGCACUUACCUCAAAAGCAAGAGACCUGGCUUCGAUUCCCGGCAGGGCGA
rnacentral:tRNA from 1 species